rnacentral:ncRNA from 1 species
GGGAGCCGUAUGAGUUGAGAGGCUCACGUACGAUUCUGGGAGCGCGUGGGGGGAGAUUCCCCCGCGCGCGACUCGCU